GAUGUGUUCUAACUAUGACUAGGUUGACAUUAAAUCCUCUUAGAGUACUAUCUAGCUUAGACAAUUAAUGGACUCUUGGGCUAUAUAGUCUAAGUGGUCACAAUUAAUGGAUCUAACUUUCUAAAGUCGAAUGGGAUAUGAUGUAUGACAAUCCUUUUCUCCGAACUAUUUUUAUAAUAUUCUAGGUCGUGUAAUGAGUUUGAUCCUCAUGUUAAGACCACCAGCAGUUGAAGCUUUUACAUCUAAAAAGAGAG
rnacentral:lncRNA from 1 species